rnacentral:rRNA from 1 species
CAGGCUUAACACAUGCAAGUCGAGCGGAAACGAUGAUAGCUUGCUAUCAGGCGUCGAGCGGCGGACGGGUGAGUAAUACUUAGGAAUCUACCUAGUAGUGGGGGAUAGCACGGGGAAACUCGUAUUAAUACCGCAUACGACCUACGGGAGAAAGGGGGCAGUUUACUGCUCUCGCUAUUAGAUGAGCCUAAGUCGGAUUAGCUAGAUGGUGGGGUAAAGGCCUACCAUGGCGACGAUCUGUAGCUGGUCUGAGAGGAUGAUCAGCCACACCGGGACUGAGACACGGCCCGGACUCCUACGGGAGGCAGCAGUGGGGAAUAUUGGACAAUGGGGGAAACCCUGAUCCAGCCAUGCCGCGUGUGUGAAGAAGGCCUUUUGGUUGUAAAGCACUUUAAGCAGUGAAGAAGACUCCGUGGUUAAUACCCACGGACGAUGACAUUAGCUGCAGAAUAAGCACCGGCUAACUCUGUGCCAGCAGCCGCGGUAAUACAGAGGGUGCAAGCGUUAAUCGGAAUUACUGGGCGUAAAGGGAGCGUAGGUGGCUCGAUAAGUCAGAUGUGAAAUCCCCGGGCUCAACCUGGGAACUGCAUCUGAUACUGUUGAGCUAGAGUAUGUGAGAGGAAGGUAGAAUUCCAGGUGUAGCGGUGAAAUGCGUAGAGAUCUGGAGGAAUACCGAUGGCGAAGGCAGCCUUCUGGCAUAAUACUGACACUGAGGCUCGAAAGCGUGGGUAGCAAACAGGAUUAGAUACCCUGGUAGUCCACGCCGUAAACGAUGUCUACUAGUCGUUGGGUCCCUUGAGGACUUAGUGACGCAGCUAACGCAAUAAGUAGACCGCCUGGGGAGUACGGCCGCAAGGUUAAAACUCAAAUGAAUUGACGGGGGCCCGCACAAGCGGUGGAGCAUGUGGUUUAAUUCGAUGCAACGCGAAGAACCUUACCUGGUCUUGACAUAUCUAGAAUCCUGCAGAGAUGCGGGAGUGCCUUCGGG